GAUGAAGAACGCAGCGAAAUGCGAUAAGUAAUGUGAAUUGCAGAAUUCAGUGAAUCAUCGAAUCUUUGAACGCACAUUGCGCCCCCUGGUAUUCCGGGGGGCAUGCCUGUCCGAGCGUCAUUACAACCCUCAAGCUCAGCUUGGUAUUGGGCCCCGCCGACCCGGCGGGCCCUAAAGUCAGUGGCGGUGCCGUCCGGCUCCGAGCGUAGUAAUUCUUCUCGCUCUGGAGGUCCGGUCGUGUGCUCGCCAGCAACCCCCAAUUUUUUUCAGGUUGACCUCGGAUCAGGAAGGGAUACGCGCUGAACUUAAGCAUAUCAAUAAGCGGAGGA
rnacentral:misc_RNA from 1 species